CCUACGGGAGGCAGCAGUGAGGCAUAUUGGUCAAUGGGCGCAAGCCUGAACCAGCCAAGUCGCGUGAGGGAUGACGGUCCUAUGGAUUGUAAACCUCUUUUGUCGGGGAGCAAGGCCCGCCACGUGUGGCGGGAAGGAGAGUACCCGAAGAAAAAGCAUCGGCUAACUCCGUGCCAGCAGCCGCGGUAAUACGGAGGAUCCAAGCGUUAUCCGGAUUUAUUGGGUUUAAAGGGUGCGUAGGCGGAUGUAUAAGUUAGAGGUGAAAUGUCCGAGCUUAACUCGGGAACUGCCUCUAAUACUGUUGAUCUAGAGAGUAGAUGCGGUAGGCGGAAUGUAUGGUGUAGCGGUGAAAUGCUUAGAGAUCAUACAGAACACCGAUUGCGAAGGCAGCUUACCAAUCUAUAUCUGACGUUGAGGCACGAAAGCGUGGGGAGCAAACAGGAUUAGAUACCCGGGUAGUC
rnacentral:rRNA from 1 species